rfam:Myotis davidii contig142251, whole genome shotgun sequence.
GGCAGUUCUCAGGUGACACACCCCGAAAUCAGGGUCCCUCCUCUCUAGUCUGGGAGCAUCACUGGAGAACCACU